rnacentral:rRNA from 1 species
UACGUAGGGUGCAAGCGUUGUCCGGAAUUAUUGGGCGUAAAGAGCUCGUAGGCGGUUUGUCGCGUCUGCUGUGAAAACUCAGGGCUUAACUCUGAGCUUGCAGUGGGUACGGGCAGACUAGAGUGCGGUAGGGGAGACUGGAAUUCCUGGUGUAGCGGUGAAAUGCGCAGAUAUCUGGAGGAACACCGGUGGCGAAGGCGGCAUCCUGGACCAACACUGACGCUGAGGAGCGAAAGCGGUGGGAGCAAACAGG